rnacentral:rRNA from 1 species
GACAGAGGUGCCGAGCGUUAGGCGGAAUCACUGGGCUUAAAGCGUGUGUAGGCGGACUUCUAAGUACCUUGUGAAAUCCCACGGCUCAACCGUGGAACUGCUUGGUAUACUGUUCGUCUUGAGCCAUCUAGGGGCUGUCGGAACAAAUGGUGGAGCGGUGAAAUGCGUAGAUAUCAUUUGGAACGCCAAAGGUGAAAACAGACAGCUGGGGAUGUGCUGACGCUGAGACACGAAAGCCAGGGGAGCGAACGGG